UAAACAGUGUUGAACAUAGUGCUUUUGAACACGGCAUGGAAAUGGCCCAGUCCCCUAAUCAAGCCCCUUAUAUAAAGCAGGUGUGAUGUGCCUCAGUAUGGCUUUGUCUCUGCUGUGGCUGGUGACCAUCUUUAGGAUAUCCCCCUGUGACCGAGUGACUUUCAUGCUUACCCCUAAACCCGUGGUGGUUCACUUGCUGCUGUUUUGCCCUGUUUUGCUUUGCCUUAUUGUUUUGUUUUGAGUAUUUAUCGAACCAACUGGGGGUUAAAUGUUUGUUUUUGAUUGAUGUUUUAAUAGUUAUUGUUAAUUUAGGCUGGAGCUGGGUGCCAAACUGUAAGGAGGCUAGGCACCCCUGGUGAGGUCCCGUCACUUGCAUGUGAAUUAAAGCACAGGGAUUUAACGCGUUUUUCCCCAGCUUUAGUGUGUAGUGACUGUUGAUGUGAGGCACUUGUGGUGAGUGGUAGCACCCCUUGGCACUCCUCGGCGUAGUUUGCCUCUCAGCAGUUGGCCUCAGCUUUAGUCUGGUUGGUUUUGUUUAAGUUUGGGACUGCUAUUUUAGAUAUUGUGACUUUUAGAUAUAAAUUAGUUUUAGCUGUUUGUAAUAAAGAUUUGGUUUAUUUUGAA